rnacentral:tRNA from 1 species
AAGGGUGUGGCUCAGUGGUAGAGUGCAUGCCUAGCAUGCAUAAGGUCCUGGGUUCAAUCCCCAGUACCUCCA